rnacentral:misc_RNA from 1 species
UUUCCGUAGGUGAACCAGCGGAGGGAUCAUUACUGGAAUCGCAAGAUCCCACAACCCCUGUGAACCUACCGAAACGUUGCCUCGGCGGGCGCCCGGCCCCGCGCCGGGCGCUGAGCCCGCCCGCAGCCCCCUACUCUUGUCUCUGCAGCGUGGCAUCUCAGAGUCCCAGAAAACAAGUAAAAACUUUCAACAACGGAUCUCUUGGCUCUA